UAGCACCAUUAGAAAAUGGU
rnacentral:miRNA from 1 species